UGUUAUGACUAAAGAAUAAUCUGUAGCUGUGAAAUCAAGAAGCAGAAAUUUAUUAUUUAGUUCUUUUAGUUACACUGCUAUUAUCUAAUACUUAAUACUUCCAUUUAAUGUGCAUACAUGCAUCCAUCUCUGCUUUCUGUUUUUCUUGAUGGAUCCUAAGCACACCGACCAAAGUGAGACAUACUUUUAAUUGCCCUGAUCUAUUUUAGCAGAUUUUAGCAAGUUUUUUGUCACUUCAGUGUCUGAGCUCCUUUUGGAGUCAUAGAAACCAACAUGCUGCAGGAAGAACCAUCAGUCUUCCCAUCCUUGUUUCCAUGUUUCAUGCAUGUAUUUGUUAGGAGGAUCUACAGCACUCACUCAGGGCAUCUGGGAGAGUAAGCCUGAACAUUUUACCCGUUGGGGCUGGUAAAAGGCUUGGAAAAAGUGGAUACAGGUUAUGCUAGUUAUUCAUCUUGUCAACUGGACAAUUGAAGAAGCAAUAAUGUUAAGGAAAGUCUGCAGUUAGACCGGGCAAUUGGCCCAACCUCUGUCUUAUUUAAGAAGUUCACAAAGUGAAGAGUUGCCUCUGCCUUUUCCUCAGUGGCUUUGACUCUGCUCCGCUCCGCAUGAUGCACUGCAGCAAUCGGGCAUUACAGCAUCCGUCAGCAUCAAUUCUGCCACUUCCUUCUGUGUGGUGUUUGGCAGCCAAAGGUGUUUUAGUAGUGAGAACUGAAAACACUCACUGUACAAUGAUUAAAAAUAACAGCUGCUAGACCUGAGCAUUUAUAUAAAAUAGGAGCCUAAUGUUUCCUUAAAAAUCUUUUGUGUUCUCCUAGUGUUAUUAGUAAAGACACUAAAUUGCUGCUAUCAGCCCAUGAGCUUAUUUCCUAUUCACAAUUUUUUUCCUAAUGCACCCCUGUAAAUUUGCAAAAGUAAUUUUUCUUAAUAACAUUUUGCUUUAGAAAAAAAACCUUAAGAAAUAUUGUACGUCAUCUGAUGCAAAUUGCUCCAGGUCCAUUGACUUCAUCAGAGCUAUGAUGAUUUACACCAGAUGGCCCACCAUGUUUGAUAUUAUUACAUUAAGGUAUUGGCAUAUGUAUAAUUUGCUUUGUACUUUAUCAGUAGUAUUUGCUUUCUAUCAAAUCCAGUGGACUUUUGCAACCUCUACUCAUGGGAAUAAAAUCCAUUCCAUGUGAGUAAUUAUACUCUGUGAAGGAUAAAUACUAAAUAAUGCAGCUAAAAUUUAUUUGGUGAAGUUUUUGGGGGGCUUAAACCAUAUUUUAAGCAGAUCUGUAGUAUUAGGGCGUCGUGAUUAUGUCUGGUGUUCUUCAUGUAAUCUGUAUUUUCCUUUUUUUUACAGAAACCUAUACAUGUAACUUGAAAUGUGGUCCGAAAUUUACUCUAUCAUAAAUUCAAGCUAUGUAAAAUCAUAAAUUUCACCUGCAUUUCCUCUUGGACAAGAGACUUUUUUUCAUUAAUAGACAUAAAACCAUAGCAAGGUUGUCUUAUAGAUAAGCAAUUCUAUAUCUUAUAGUAAGGGGAAAUACAGCUAAAUCGCCUUCAUAAAUAGUCCAUAGCUUUCCAAAGAUGGCUUUUUGGUUUGGCAUAUUGACUUUGCAUUUAUGAGGCAAAUGUACGAGAACAUCUGGUUUGUUUUAUCAUUAAUUCUGGGAAUACCCAUUAAUAAUGCAUUUUUGGGAAUUGUUUUUGUUAUUCCUGGAGAGCACUGUAAUGAACAGUCCUAUGCUUGUUCUGUCAGGAGACAAAUUUUGGUUUAGAGGUUAUUUUGCAGACUUAAUUAUAUUAGUUGCUAUCUCCUUUUUAUUGCCAGAAAGUGUGCGUUAUUAAAAGAAUUGCUGAGAACGCUGCCAGUGGCCAUUGUGGAAACCUAAACUUCCUAGUAGUUUAGAAAAGAGACAUUUCGUCUUUUUCUGAAAAUGGAAUUCAGAGCUUUUUUUCCUGUACCUCUGGCCUGUAUUCAUACAAUCUUAGGAAAAACACGGAAUUAGCAACACACACCUUUUUUUGUUCCUUGUUAUUAAUCUAGCUAUGAAACCGUUAUUGGUGGAUAAACUGUCUGGCUGUUGGCAGGAAAAUGAGACAUCAAACACCCCAAUCUUCUUCUAGUAUUCCUAGCUCUGGUGUAGUUGGAUCAUAUAACUUUAUAAACCGAAGCAAGAUUUUCCCAGGUCACUUGGGCAAGCAGUGGUACGUGUUGUCCUGUGCUUGAAGACCACACCUAUGGCAGCUUGGCGUGGUUAAGCAGAAUCUGGAGCUCCCAUCAAAUCCCUGAAGAUGAAGGAGCUAUGGAACUCAGCACUGGAAAAACCGCAUUGUCUGGUGGUUAGGAGUAGAGUCAGUAAACAGAGAGUCUAUUCCCAACUUCGGUCUGACGCCCGAUCCACGCAAAGUGCCUCUGCUAUAUUUAUAGCAUCGCAAUAAUGAAUCUAGUGUGAAGCUAAUUAAGUUCACAUGCAAUUCUUUCCCUUAACUUCCUGGGCGUCAGAUCAGACCCACACACAUACACUGGGGGUUUCUACCUCAUGUCUGCUGUGGGCUAGACACCACCCUUUAAUCCAGUUCUCUUUCUACUUUCAUUCUGUUUAUUUACCUGAGAAAGAGCCUUGCAUAAUGCCAGCUGAGCAGAGGAGGGCAGGAGGAGGGCAGGACAGGAGGAGUGCAGGACAGUGACUGUGGCAGACGUCUGCAUGCACCCAUGGGAAACAGCAACACGUGACCGAACUCCCAGCAGCGGUGUCUGGGCUCAGAAACAGCGAGAAAAGCCAGAUCCAAAGCCAACAUUUAAUGGUUAAAGAAGCAGGAUUUUUUUUUUUUUUUCAUUACAAACUGAUAUUUUAACCCCAGACGCAGAUCAGCAGUCAUCUCUUUAGUUCAUUUUCCCAAGAAAAGGGCUAUAUUUCUUCAAUUGCUUAUGCACUCUACCAGCCCAGCUAUGUGUAUGACAUCACUUACUGCACUGACUUUAUAUUUUUCCAGGACCAUGUAUAGAAGCCUCUGAAGAGAUCAGCAGCUGGGGAACAUUUUGGAUAUCCAAAUUCCUAAUGACCCCAGAGUAGUAUUCCCAAACCUCUUGGCAGUUCCAAAUUUCAUGCCAAAAGUUGCCGGCAUCUGUCUUACAUUUUGAACAUUUGUCAUCGAUAUUCUUAUUUAAUUUAAACAUCCGCUUAGGGGGGUCACGUAUUCUCGGUGAAUAAAAUUAGCUGCAUGUAACCAAUCUGUGAAUUUGAGUUUAAUCAUAGAGCUCCGGUCUAGUUACAGAUGUCUUUGUCCACAGACUGUAGUUUACUACCGAAUGCCUUCCCCAUUAGCUUUGGGAUUAUCAAGCAAGGAUUUAUACCGUGUAGAAACCUUUUUCCUUUCUAAAUACAUAACUGAAUGCUCUCAGUGGGAGGAUUAAGUUCAGGCUCUCUGAAAGACCUACAGCUGGUUAUCUCCUUUAGUAAUGACUUUGCGAACCACACUAAGGUGAGGGGCAGGGCAUGGGCUCACUGCCUCAGGAACACAGCACAGCUCAAAUUGCCAAUGAAAGUCACAAUUCAGUUUCCACUCCAUCUUGUUCUGGGGAGGAGGAACAAGGUUGCCACCACCCAGUUUUCUGGGUCAGCUUAUUACCCGCUCCCACCCUGUCAGCUCUGCUGACUGAAGCUUUGGGGAUGCUGUUGGAGUUCCACUAGCUCUCCCUGUCUGUUCCUACUUCUGCUGCUGCUUUUGCUUGUGGUGCCUACUCACACCCUGCACAGGUGCAAGAAAAAGAAAAAUGAAAUGAAAAAUAACUGCGUUGCCCCGCUCUUAAAUGUCCUUGCUAGGAUGUGGUAAUUGGUCCCGAACUCUUCAAAUCUUUCUUUAUAUAAUAAACAUCCUGCACAGAUGUGAUUCCCAGCUCUUCACAUAGCAAAUGUUAAUUCAUUCAUUACCGCAGUUCAUUUUGGCACAGUUGUAGCUUUGAUCUGACAGUAACAGCGGUAUGCUAACAGUGCUUAAACACAAACAUUUUAAUUAAUAUUCUUACUUGUAUUCUAUCAACAUCCUCAAGGAAAAGGUUGAAGCAGGUUCUGAUAUAAAGCCUCUGCUCCCCAUCCUGGCAUAAAUUCUGUAUAUAUAUUUGUACAAAGUUUCGCCCAUAACACAUGCAAGCAAUUAUGAAUUAUGACCUAUCCUACAGAUGACACUGUGGUCCAUAAGCUUGAAUUUCCCACUGCCAUCAUUAGAACUAGAACCAACCCUCCUUAAGGAAGAAAUUAUUCAUUCAACUGCUGGAGCUGACAUGCCCCCCCGUCUACAGUAUCCAGCAAUGAGUGCACCGACUGGCAUGCACAACUUGCUGAUUUGGAUGUGAAAUCAAUAGGACUUGAGGUGUCUUUGUCGUGAUAAUACAUAUAGUUCUUCUUUAUCUGAGAGACAUUAUAUUUUUUGGUCAAUACUGCGUUUCCCAGUGUAGCAGCACAAUCUCUUUCCUCCUCAAGAAGUUCCAUGGCCUCGGAUGGCUCUGAGCAGCACUGUGAAGGCCCAGUGCACCAAGCUGAGUCCAAUUAACACAGUGAAUACUUGCAAUAUAUUUUUCCCAAUUUUCUUGUAUUUAAAAACAAUACACCUUUUCUUUGUAUUUUCUUUCAAACACUUUUGAAAUACUGAAAGGAGGUAAAUAUAUGAAUCUUAUUCUUAGGGGAUUGCGCUGAAUAACGCCUGGAAUUAAUUAAGGUUUUUGUUGUGAUAGUAAGUUCAUACAGAAGUAGAAAUCAAGGGUCACGAAAAUUGCAAAGAAUCCAUGCAGAGCCAAAUGAUUGAUGUGAGUGACUGAUGUGUGAGCUGCGGAGCUAACUAAUCCUCCUUCAGCCUCACCUCACUGCUACUCACAGCUAAGAAUUAAAUCUGAAGAUGGAUUUGAUGAUGUCUCCAGGCUUCAGGUACAUGUUGGAGCUGGGAAUUGAGGCCCCUCAUGCUGCUGAAGACAGUAUGGACCACAGGCCGGUGAGGGGACAUCAGUGACAGAUACAGCAGGCAGGAGCCACAGUGCCUCACCCUUGCCUGCUGGCCCCAGUGCCUUCCCCAGCGAGGCUGUUCCCUGCUUUGGCCAUGAUGGGAGCACGAGGGACCAGGAGAAACAGUGCCCAUGUUUUGCCAUCUCUCCGUGGAGUUGAAUAAUCAUCUGAUUUACAGAGGAUCUGUAACAGAAGUGGUCAACAAGGGAAGGCUCCAAGAGCGCCUUAAAAUCUCUCCACUGAGCUGCUGUUGCGUCCUCAUGAUCAGCUCCCUGCCUUGGGCUGGUUUCAGCCUGCCAAAGCCUCCCAGCUCCUGGUUUCGCUGGGCUUCCUCAGCUGUUUGUCCUUGUGGGUAAGAGCUCCUGGCAAAUUAAAAGGCUUCCUGCUGAAGGCUUCACCCUGAUGUAUCUCAGCCUCCUCUGAAUAGAAUUUAUUUUUUUUCUACAUUACCAGAUCUAUUAUUUUUCAAGGCUAUCCCUUUGGGGUGAUUUAGGGAGGUGGUUGUCAGGCCAAUCACCUAUUUUCUUUUAGAUCUGAUUCUCACUUAGAACGCCAUAGUUAAUCUCUCUUAUUAUCCAUAGAAGUACUCAGAUGAUUUUGUUUAGUCACAUCAAUCAAUGAUUAUUUCAAGUUGUCAUGACUUUUCUCCGGACAACCAGAAAAACUUUAAAAAAAAAAACAACAAAAAACCCCCUAUUAUUCGGUUUUCAUUAAGGGAGUAAGCCUGUAAAAAGCAGAAUUUUUAAUGGAUAAUUGGUGGAGGUUUAAGAAAGCAUUCCAAAUGGAUUUUAUGAUCAGGUGCUUCUUUAUAGCCUUUAUAUUCACUGAGGGUAACAGAUUCAAUUUGAAGGGGGAUGUGAAGGUCACUGCAACGCUGAACUGCUCUGGAAUGAAGGACUGACAUAAAGGUUCAGCCAUAAAAUGGCAGCUACAAUUUACAGAAAUUCUUUUAGGCAGCAUGGUUUACUACGCGCCAUGAAUGAAACAGUUUAUAUCCAUUCCUCGGCAAAGCUGGAGGCAAUAUCCUAGAGAUGGUUUAUAAAAGGCAAUUACGAAUUUUCUUGGAAAUUUUUGAUUCCAACUUUGCAAACCUUUGAGGCAGUCAUAAAAGUCUGACCCAAUGGAAGCUGCAUAGUGCUCAUUCUCUGAGAUUUGAAGUUAGCUUUGCACUCUGCGUAGUUGUUCAUUAAACUGGUGGAGAAUGAUGUAGAUCCACACGCUUCGGGAUCUGUCUUUCACUCUUAUUUGUAAACAGCCUCAUAAACUAAUGAACAGAGAUCUCAAUUUCACAGCACAGUUAGAAAGGGAGAGGGGAUGAGAUGAACUCGUGUGACAAUUGUAUCUUGGGCCUCAUUGUGUUAUUAUUUAGUAUAUCAGAAGCAGAACUGGAGCACUUUGUAUGGGCUAAGGGUAGUUCUGGAUGGGGCGGGCAGUCGAUUUCAGCACAAAAGAAGGAACAUCGUGCUUAGCAAUUUGAGCUAAACUUGUGCCCCUGGGGAGGAGGUCUACUGUGUUAGCAGGGGCUGGGUGGUGAAAAGGGAGGGGCCUGGAUAAAUGUAGGAGAUGCUUCAUAAUUUCUAAGGUAUGGGAUGAGCCAGAGCCCAAAGGGCAUCUGGUAUGGCAGGUACACCCUCCUCAGGAAAGAGUUUAUUUCCUGCCAGCUCUUACCCCUCAAGCAUAGUCUUGUGCUAUUCAUGUUUUGCCCACAUCUCAGUACUGCAGUCAUCCCUCUGGUACUUGAGCAAACAGGCUGAGAGAGGACACUUGCUCCUGCCCCAUAAAACAUCUUCUGCUUGGGGCUGUACCUGCCCUGACUAGCACCCUGCAGGAACUGGGGAGUGCCUGGAGAAAGACCUCAGGGGCUGUAAAGAGUAGCAGCAGAAAUGCCCGUGGUGUGUCCAGACCAAGCCCAUGAAGGCAAACUGAACAAGGAUAGCUUAUAAAUGGUUUUACUUUUACUAAAAUUUGAUACCCAUGACUUUUAACUGGUUAGAAAUAACUACUUACAUGCCCUUACUUACAUGCCAACUCACUGAUUGUUUAAGACCAGAAACAAAUAAUUCUGCUACAUGUAGCAAUUAAUAGCCUUUUAAUAGCCUUCAGUGCUGGUUUUCAGGAAAUAAUGUCUUACUAUUAACAUUCCUGUAAAACCAUUAGUCCUAAAUGCAUGUAAUUGAUGGCAGUACUAAUGUUUGUAAAAUGAACUGAGGCUGAUUUAUAAGACUGAUAAUAAAAUAGUUCAGUAAAUGGCUUUGAUCUAAUAGCUGUGAAAAAAGUACACACACCUAAAAGAUUAUCCUUGCAGAUAUCCGUCGUCCUUUCAACUUUUACUAGCUUCAGACGCAAUGAUUUGGAAGGGAAGAAUCCCAGCUAAAUAUUUAUUGAUGGGGAUGACCACUGAUCAGUUACACUCUAUUCUCCUUCUAAAUACGAACAUCCAGUAGUACACUGACUCCUCUGUCCAUUUUAAGUGCAACUUUAUUCCUUGCUAUUGAGUGAGAUGAAAGAAC